ACGAACGCUGGCGGCAUGCCUAACAUAUGCAAGUCGCACGAGACCUUCGGGUCUAGUGGCGCACGGGUGCGUAACGCGUGGGAACCUGCCCUUAGGUUCGGAAUAACUCCCCGAAAGGGGUGCUAAUACCGGAUAAUGUCUUCGGACCAAAGAUUUAUCGCCUUUGGAUGGGCCCGCGUUGGAUUAGCUAGUUGGUAGGGUAAAAGCCUACCAAGGCGACGAUCCAUAGCUGGUCUGAGAGGAUGAUCAGCCACACUGGGACUGAGACACGGCCCAGACUCCUACGGGAGGCAGCAGUGGGGAAUAUUGGACAAUGGGCGAAAGCCUGAUCCAGCAAUGCCGCGUGAGUGAUGAAGGCCUUAGGGUUGUAAAGCUCUUUUACCCGGGAUGAUAAUGACAGUACCGGGAGAAUAAGCUCCGGCUAACUCCGUG
rnacentral:rRNA from 1 species